rnacentral:lncRNA from 1 species
GGGGCACACGCGGCUGUCGCGGAGGCAGGCGCUGAUCUUGGCCCAGUACCCGGGGUCGGAUACGCGGUCCUUGAGCCAGCCGGAGUAGUCCGAGAGCUGGUACUCGAGGAAGGCGCGGUCCAUGACGACCUGGCCGUGGCCGCGGUCGGUGACGGCGUAGGCGAAGACGACGAAGCUGAGGAGCGCGACGACCACGAAGAACAUGACGAAGAGGUAGAUGCGGAGCAGCCAGGUGAGGCGGUAGCAGGCACCGGCGAAGCCCAUGAGGGAGAUGACCAUGAUGGCGAUGCCGAUGACGAUGAGCGGCCACUGGAGGAAGCGGAGGCAGUCGGUGGAAUUGGCCUUGGCACUGAGCCAUAUUCCGCCGCCCAAGAUGGGGAU